UCUUUUUGUUUUUUUCAAGGAGGCCACAGUCCACCUCAAGGCAGGAGGUAAACGGAUGCAUGAUGCAAGUUACCGUCCGCUGGUAUUCUAAACAACGGUGCCACCAAGAGAAAUGGAAGCUCCAAGAAGAUCACCUGUACACCACACAACACACUCAUGAAUUAACAACAACAACAACAACAACGUUCUAUGUGCAUCAUCUGGGCUCUCCUUCUCCAUCCAGAGACUCUGGGAUGCAGAAGUCGGCCAGGGACACCGAGAGACGAAACUGGUUUCUUGAAUUGCACAGAGCCAGCCAGUGUCUGCGACUGACUUAUAGAACCUCGUGUCCCAGCCUUGGCGUUCUUGGGACCAUGCCACAGAAAGCAGUGGUUGGCCUUUCCCAUUACUUCCAGACCAUCAUCCCAGCGGGGAUGGAUGGAUCCAUCUUGCCUGAAGCUGACAGCUCACGGAGUCUGCAGCCUGCCCAUCUGGAGAAUGAAAAUCAAAAUCAGAUGUGGUCACAGAGAAGGACUCUCAGCCACCAAUCGUUGACACUCCGGACUCUGGCUUCUUGGUGCACAGCAGAGAGCCCUGCUCUCCUGUAAGAACCUGAAGCCAGCUUCCCUUUCUGCCCACACAUGCUCUCCUGCUCUGAUGGCAAGGUCUUGAGGAAGAAGGAGGAGACUCUCAUCAGGCUAACGAGUCCACCCUCCUCUCUAACUCCCUCUGUUAUCACUUGUCUCAGUCUUUUCGUGUUUGCAACCAUUCUUUCAAAACAACCAAAUGGCUUUUUUUUUUUCCAGAAUGGUUUUGUGAAGGGA
rnacentral:lncRNA from 14 species